rnacentral:rRNA from 1 species
UACGGGGGGGGCAAGCGUUGUUCGGAAUUACUGGGCGUAAAGGGCUCGUAGGCGGCCAACUAAGUCAGACGUGAAAUCCCUCGGCUUAACCGGGGAACUGCGUCUGAUACUGGAUGGCUAGAGUUUGGGAGAGGGAUGCGGAAUUCCAGGUGUAGCGGUGAAAUGCGUAGAUAUCUGGAGGAACACCGGUGGCGAAGGCGGCAUCCUGGACCGGCAUUGACGCUGAGGCGCGAAAGCUAGGGGAGCAAACGGG